rnacentral:rRNA from 1 species
AUGGCUUUUUCUGCGGAAGGAUCGGGAUCAAAGGGGCUGGUGGAUGAAGAUCCAAGCAAGCUCCUGGAACGAUUGCAUUUGCAGGAUGACGAAAUUGACAAACUAAUCUGAGAAGAUGAAGUUGAUACGACCAAGGAGAAGCCCAAGUGGCUAGCCUUAGUGAAACUGCUGACGGAGAAAAGCUUCAGUCAGAGUGCGCUGAUAGGAGACAUGCGAGCGGCAUGGAACCCUGCUCAGGAGGUAAUCUGGAGGAGGAUAAAUCCAAACCUAUUCUCGAUUCAGUUCAAUUGUUUGGCGGAUUGGAAUAAGGCUAUGCAUCAAGGACCUUGGGACUUCAAAGGUUGUGCCCUCUUGUUGACUGAAUAUGAUGGCUUUACAUAA